rnacentral:rRNA from 1 species
UGGGGAAUAUUGCGCAAUGGGGGAAACCCUGACGCAGCAACGCCGCGUGAAGGAUGAAGGCUUUCGGGUUGUAAACUUCUUUGAUGAGGGACGAAAGAAAUGACGGUACCUCAAAAACAAGCCACGGCUAACUACGUGCCAGCAGCCGCGGUAAUACGUAGGUGGCGAGCGUUGUCCGGAAUUACUGGGUGUAAAGGGCGUGUAGGCGGGGAUGCAAGUCAGAUGUGAAAUGCCGGGGCUUAACUCCGGAGCUGCAUCUGAAACUGUGUUUCUUGAGGGUCGGAGAGGAAAGCGGAAUUCCCAGUGUAGCGGUGAAAUGCGUAGAUAUUGGGAGGAACACCAGUGGCGAAGGCGGCUUUCUGGACGAUAACUGACGCUGAGGCGCGAAAGCGUGGGGAGCAAACA